rnacentral:rRNA from 1 species
GACAACGCCCGGCUUAACCGGGCGAGGCCAGUGAAGACUGGCAGGCUGGAGGCUGGCAGAGGGGUGCAGAAUUCCGGGUGUAGCGGUGAAAUGUGUAGAGAUCCGGAGGAAUACCAGUGGUGCAGACGGCGCCCUGGGCCAGACCUGACGCUGAGACGCGAAAGCGUGGGGAGCGAACGGGAUUAGAGACCCCGGUAGUCCACGCCGUAAACGAUGUGAACUGGGUGUGCACCACGCACUGCGUGGGGUGUGCCGAAGCUAACGCGUUAAGUUCACCGCCUGGAGAGUACGGUCGCAAGGCUAAAACUCAAAGGAAUUAACGGGGGCCCGCACAAGCAGCGGAGCGUGUGGUUUAAUUCGAGGCUACACGAAGAACCUUACCCGGGUUUGACAUGGCGGUGGUAGCGACCUGAAAGGGAAGCGACCUUCGGGAGCCGUCACAGGUGCUGCAUGGCUGUCGUCAGCUCGUGUCGUGAGAUGUUCGGUUAAGUCCGAAAACGAGCGCAACCCUCGGGUCGUGUUAUACGUGUCACGACCGACUGCCCGCGACAAGCGGGAGGAAGGUGGGGAUGACGUCAAGUCAGCAUGGCCUUUAUAUCCGGGGCGACACACACGCUACAAUGGCUGGUACAAUCGGUUGCAAACCCGCGAGGGGGAGCCAAUCCGGAAAGCCAGUCACAGUUCGGAUUGCAGGCUGCAACUCGCCUGCAUGAAGUCGGAGUUGCUAGUAACCGCAGGUCAGCCAUACUGCGGUGAAUACGUUCCCGGGCCUUGUACACACCGCCCGUCACGUCAUGGGAGCUGGUCACGCCUGAAGCCGGUGGGCUAACCGCAAGGGGGCAGCCGUCGAAGGCAGGGCUGGUGACUGGGACGAAGUCGUAACAAGGUAGCUGUAGCGGAAGCUGCGGCUGGAUCACCU